CCUACGGGCGGCAGCAGUGAGGAAUAUUGGUCAAUGGACGAGAGUCUGAACCAGCCAAGUAGCGUGAAGGAUGACUGCCCUAUGGGUUGUAAACUUCUUUUAUAUGGGAAUAAAAUGUUCCACGUGUGGGAUUUUGUAUGUACCAUAUGAAUAAGGAUCGGCGAACUCCGUGCCAGCAGCCGCGGUAAUACGGAGGUUCCGAGCGUUAUCCGGAUUUAUUGGGUUUAAAGGGAGCGUAGGUGGAUUGUUAAGUCAGUUGUGAAAGUUUGCGGCUCAACCGUAAAAUUGCAGUUGAAACUGGCAGUCUUGAGUACAGUAGAGGUGGGCGGAAUUCGUGGUGUAGCGGUGAAAUGCUUAGAUAUCACGAAGAACUCCGAUUGCGAAGGCAGUUCACUGGACUGCAACUGACACUGAGGCUCGAAAGUGUGGGUAUCAAACAGGAUUAGAUACCCUUGUAGUC
rnacentral:rRNA from 1 species